GGGGGAGGGUGUGUGUGUGUGUGUGUGUGUGUGUCCCUCAGCCCAGCCUGCACCCUCUCCA
rnacentral:miRNA from 1 species